rnacentral:rRNA from 2 species
UUCUGACCCUAAUCCCCAUAAGCCAAAUUACUACGAGUUAUUUUCUUCAAACUUAAAGAAUUUGGCGGUAAUCUAGCCAGUUAGAGGAACCUGUUCUUCAAUCGAUGAUCCACGCAGAAUCUUACCUUACCUUAUUUAGCUUGUAUACCGUCAUUAUUAGAUUACUCUAAUAAGAUUUAGCUAUCCCAAUAUAACGCCCGUUAUAGUAUAUUAGAUCAAGGUGCAGCCUAUGGUAAGGUUAGGAUGGGUUACAAUAAAUUUUAUUUAUACGAAUUAGUAAUUUAAAUAUUUCUACGAAGGAGGAUUUAAUAGUAAAUUCGGUUUAAUAUGCCAAAUUGAUAAUGGCUCUAGAUUGUGUACAUAUCGCCCGUCGCUUUCAUCCUAAGAUGAGAUAAGUCGUAACAUAG